UAGACAUUGGGUAGGGGAGCGUUCUGUAAGCCGUUGAAGGUGAAUCGUAAGGUUUGCUGGAGGUAUCAGAAGUGCGAAUGCUGACAUGAGUAACGACAAAGGGGGUGAAAAAACCUCCUCGCCGGAAGACCCAAGGGUUCCUGUCCAACGUUAAUCGGGGCAGGGUGAGUCGACCCCUAAGGUGAGGCCGAAAGGCGUAAUCGAUGGGAAACGGGUUAAUAUUCCCGUACUUCUGACUAUUGCGAUGGGGGGACGGAGAAGGCUAGGUGGGCCAGGCGACGGUUGUCCUGGUUCAAGUGCGUAGGCUUGAGAGUUAGGUAAAUCCGGCUCUCUCUAAGGCUGAGACACGACGUCGAGCUACUACGGUAGUGAAGUCAUUGAUGCCAUGCUUCCAGGAAAAGCCUCUAAGCUUCAGAUAGUCAGGAAUCGUACCCCAAACCGACACAGGUGGUCGGGUAGAGAAUACCAAGGCGCUUGAGAGAACUCGGGUGAAGGAACUAGGCAAAAUGGUACCGUAACUUCGGGAGAAGGUACGCUCUUGAUGGUGAAGUCCCUCGCGGAUGGAGCUGACGAGAGUCGCAGAUACCAGGUGGCUGCAACUGUUUAUUAAAAACACAGCACUGUGCAAAAUCGCAAGAUGACGUAUACGGUGUGACGCCUGCCCGGUGCCGGAAGGUUAAUUGAUGGGGUUAGCGCAAGCGAAGCUCUUGAUCGAAGCCCCGGUAAACGGCGGCCGUAACUAUAACGGUCCUAAGGUAGCGAAAUUCCUUGUCGGGUAAGUUCCGACCUGCACGAAUGGCGUAAUGAUGGCCACGCUGUCUCCACCCGAGACUCAGUGAAAUUGAAAUCGCUGUGAAGAUGCAGUGUACCCGCGGCUAGACGGAAAGACCCCGUGAACCUUUACUACAGCUUGGCACUGAACAUUGAACCUACAUGUGUAGGAUAGGUGGGAGGCUAUGAAGACGUGACGCCAGUUGCGUUGGAGCCGUCCUUGAAAUACCACCCUUGUAUGUUUGAUGUUCUAACUUAGACCCAUUAUCUGGGUUGAGGACAGUGCCUGGUGGGUAGUUUGACUGGGGCGGUCUCCUCCCAAAGAGUAACGGAGGAGCACGAAGGUGGGCUAAUCACGGUUGGACAUCGUGAGGUUAGUGCAAUGGCAUAAGCCCGCUUAACUGCGAGAAUGACGGUUCGAGCAGGUGCGAAAGCAGGUCAUAGUGAUCCGGUGGUUCUGUAUGGAAGGGCCAUCGCUCAACGGAUAAAAGGUACUCCGGGGAUAACAGGCUGAUACCGCCCAAGAGUUCAUAUCGACGGCGGUGUUUGGCACCUCGAUGUCGGCUCAUCACAUCCUGGGGCUGAAGUCGGUCCCAAGGGUAUGGCUGUUCGCCAUUUAAAGUGGUACGCGAGCUGGGUUUAGAACGUCGUGAGACAGUUCGGUCCCUAUCUGCCGUGGGCGUUGGAAGAUUGAAGUGGGCUGCUCCUAGUACGAGAGGACCGGAGUGGACGAACCUCUGGUGUUCGGGUUGUGUCGCCAGACGCAUUGCCCGGUAGCUAAGUUCGGAAUUGAUAAGCGCUGAAAGCAUCUAAGCGCGAAGCGAGCCCUGAGAUGAGUCUUCCCUGACAGUUUAACUGUCCUAAAGGGUUGUUCGAGACUAGAACGUUGAUAGGCAGGGUGUGUAAGCGUUGUGAGGCGUUGAGCUAACCUGUACUAAUUGCCCGUGAGGCUUAACCAU
rnacentral:rRNA from 1 species